UUCACAGCUCUACAAUGAACUCCUCUCUGUUUAUCUGCAGAAUGAAUCCAGAAGAGGGAGUGGCACUAAAAGCUUCCCCACCCAAUCCCACCAAUGUGCCUCAACUCUGACCUAACGGGAUCAUUUCUAGGUGUGAGAAGGUAAUUCAGACUUCACGCCUAUCAUGCCUCUAGUUUCU
rnacentral:sRNA from 1 species